UGGGAAUAUUGGAAAAAGGGGGGAACCCUGAAUCAGCCAUGCCGCGUGUGGGAAGAAGGCCUUAUGGUUGGAAAGCAAUUUAAGCGAGGAGGAGGGUACUGGUAUUAAUACUACCAGCUUCUGGACGGUACUCGCAGAAUAAGCAACGGCUAACUCUGUGCCAGCAGCCGCGGUAAUACAGAGGGUGCGAGCGUUAAUCGGAUUUAAUGGGCGUAAAGCGUGCGUAGGCGGCUAAUUGAGUCGGAUGUGAAAUCCCCGAGCUUAACUUGGGAAUUGCAUUCGAUACUGGUUAGCUAGAGUGUGGGAGAGGAUGGUAGAAUUCCAGGUGUAGCGGUGAAAUGCGUAGAGAUCUGGAGGAAUACCGAUGGCGAAGGCAGCCAUCUGGCCUAACACUGACGCUGAGGUGCGAAAGCGUGGGGAGCAAACAGG
rnacentral:rRNA from 1 species